rnacentral:rRNA from 1 species
CCCUUAGAUGUUCUGGGCUGCACGCGCGCGACAAUGACGUUUGCAACGAGAUUGCGAGGCCGUCAGGUCGAGCUGAUCUUGCAAGCUGCGUCGUGAUAGGGACAGUCGAUUGCAAUUAUUCGACUCGAACGAGGAAUUCCUUGUAAUCGCGCAUCAUCAGUGCGCGCUGAAUACGUCCCUGCCCUUUGUACACACCGCCCGUCGCUCCUACCGAUUGGGUGAGCCGAUGAAACUCUCGGAUGUAGGCUAUUCAUAGCCCGCAGAAGAGAUUUGAAUCGUAGCGCUUAGAGGAAGGAGAAGUCGUAACA